rnacentral:rRNA from 1 species
AUUGAACGCUGGCGGCAGGCCUAACACAUGCAAGUCGAGCGGAUGAAGGGAGCUUGCUCCUGGAUUCAGCGGCGGACGGGUGAGUAAUGCCUAGGAAUCUGCCUGGUAGUGGGGGAUAACGUCCGGAAACGGGCGCUAAUACCGCAUACGUCCUGAGGGAGAAAGUGGGGGAUCUUCGGACCUCACGCUAUCAGAUGAGCCUAGGUCGGAUUAGCUAGUUGGUGGGGUAAAGGCCUACCAAGGCGACGAUCCGUAACUGGUCUGAGAGGAUGAUCAGUCACACUGGAACUGAGACACGGUCCAGACUCCUACGGGAGGCAGCAGUGGGGAAUAUUGGACAAUGGGCGAAAGCCUGAUCCAGCCAUGCCGCGUGUGUGAAGAAGGUCUUCGGAUUGUAAAGCACAUUAAGUUGGGAGGAAGGGCAGUAAGUUAAUACCUUGCUGUUUUGACGUUACCAACAGAAUAAGCACCGGCUAACUUCGUG